rnacentral:rRNA from 1 species
GACAGAGGGUGCAAACGUUGCUCGGAAUCACUGGGCGUAAAGCGUGCGUAGGCGGCUUGUUAAGUGAGAUGUUAAAUCGUGUGGCUCAACCAUAUCGAUGCAUUUCAUACUGGCAGGCUAGAGGACGGCAGAGGCAAGUGGAAUUGGUAGUGUAGCAGUGAAAUGCGUAGAUAUUACCAGGAACACCAAUGGCGAAGGCAGCUUGCUGGGCCGACCCUGACGCUGAGGUACGAAAGCGUGGGGAGCGAACAGG